UACGUAGGGUCCAAGCGUUAUCCGGAAUCACUGGGCGUAAAGCGUGCGUAGGUGGAUUGUUAAGUGCGGUGCGAAAUCCUGUGGCUCAACCAUAUGGACUGUAUCGCAUACUGGCAAUCUAGAGGACAUGAGAGGCAAGUGGAAUUACUGGUGUAGCAGUGAAAUGCGUAGAGAUCAGUAGGAACACCAAUGGCGAAGGCGGCUCACUGGCUCGGUACUGACGCUGAGGCGCGAAAGCGUGGGGAGCAAACAGG
rnacentral:rRNA from 1 species